UACGUAGGGGGCUAGCGUUGUCCGGAUUUAUUGGGCGUAAAGAGCGUGUAGGCGGCCCGAUAAGUCCGCCGUGAAAGUCCAGGGCUCAACCCUGGAAUGCCGGUGGAAACUGUCGGGCUGGAGUCCGGAAGAGGCGAGUGGAAUUCCUGGUGUAGCGGUGAAAUGCGCAGAUAUCAGGAGGAACACCAAUGGCGAAGGCAGCUCGCUGGGACGGUACUGACGCUGAGACGCGAAAGCGUGGGGAGCAAACAGG
rnacentral:rRNA from 1 species